GGAAUAUUGGUCAAUGGGCGAGAGCCUGAACCAGCCAAGUAGCGUGCAGGACGACGGCCCUAUGGGUUGUAAACUGCUUUUAUCAGGGGAUAAAGUUUUCCACGUGUGGGAUUUUGUAGGUACCUGAUGAAUAAGGACCGGCUAAUUCCGUGCCAGCAGCCGCGGUAAUACGGAAGGUCCGGGCGUUAUCCGGAUUUAUUGGGUUUAAAGGGAGCGCAGGCCGAUGGUUAAGCGUGACGUGAAAUGUAGCCGCUCAACGGCUGAACUGCGUCGCGAACUGGCUGUCUUGAGUGAGUUCGAUGUGGGCGGAAUUCGUGGUGUAGCGGUGAAAUGCUUAGAUAUCACGAAGAACUCCGAUUGCGAAGGCACCCCACAAGGCCUUUACUGACGCUAAAGCUCGAAGGUGCGGGUAUCGAACA
rnacentral:rRNA from 1 species